AAAAAUCUGAAAAAAAUGGUGAGUAUUUUUUUUAGGUUUUAGAAUCAUAUAAAAAAUAAUGAAGCAAAUUGGCGGGGGUCAGGGAAAAUGACCUCUCAGUUGGCAUGUAAUACCUCACAAUUAUACAUAUAAUACAUAAAAAAUUUUUU